rfam:Triticum aestivum genome assembly, contig: Triticum_aestivum_CS42_TGACv1_scaffold_080232_1DS
CAAGUACUCCCUCCGUCCCAAAAUUCUUGUCUUAGAUUUGUCUAAAUACGGAUGUAUCAAGUCACAUUUUAGUAUUAGAUACAUUCGUAUCUAGACUAAUCAAGACAAGAAUUUUGGGAUGGAGGGAGUACAAU